rnacentral:rRNA from 1 species
UAGUAAUGGCGAAUGAAACGGGCUGAGCCCAUCCCGAACUGCCUACCAUUCGGUAGCGCGGAAUGUGGGGUUGGGGACUCUUGCUUCGCACUUUGAUGACCAGUUCAAGUCCACCUUGACAGGGGCCACAGCCCAUAGAGGGUGAUAGGCCCGUACGACGGUUGUCUUUUUGCGCCGAGUGUUCCCUAGAGUCGAGUUGCUUGGGAGUGCAGCACAAAGCGCGUGGUAAGCUCCACGUAAGGCUAAAUACUACCCCGAGACCGAUAGCAAACAAGUACCGUGAGGGAAAGUUGAAAAGUACUCUGAAGAGAA